UCUAACCACCAUCCAAGUCAAUAUUCACCGUUGGAUCAUGCUGAGAUGAAAUCUCAGCCGUUUAAACUCACAAAAAUAACCGCUGUGGUGGCGGUUCACGGCGGUUUAGAGCAGUUAUUAGUAGUUACCUGGAUCCCUGUUUUCACUCCCCAUGUUCACGUUAGUUUUGAGCGGUUAUUAGUAGUUACCUGGGUAGUGUUGUCAGUUGAGGAGAGUAAUUAGAAAUUUUUGAGUAGUUAUUUAAUUUGAAUUUGCAGUUCCUAGCUAUCUCAACCACGUUCUUCCAACUGUUGCCGCCUAAAUUUAUGGCUAUAAACUCCCUUGGAACGAUCCAUCCCUAACGCACCCUCCUGCUUCUUCUCCCCAUUAUCUUCUCUCUGCUCAAGGAUUAAAUAUAUGAGAAGUCAUAUGUGAGUUCAAACCCUAGAAUUCCCCAUGUUGGUUCAGAUGCAACAAAUCCUCUUUUGCUCUGCAGCCUCUAAUAGGAACAUUUUUUUUCUCCUACUGUCCCCACCAGAUAUUACAGGAAUUUGGUAACUUGCUUUUAAUUUUGAAAAGGAUGCGAGAAGGAGAUCAUCCUGGGAAGAAAAAGUAGCGCAUUGAAUGGAAUUUUUAAGGUCUCUUCUUGAUGACAUUUUAAACGAUGACCGGCCACUAUAACCAAAAGGUACCUUUCCACUAGCGGCAUCGGUGUUGGCUCUUUCUCUACCUAUAUCGAAUUUCCCCUUCAUACAGUUUUUGUCAUCGAUCAGGUGCGGAUACGAUGGUUGAACUUUGCGUCUUCACUCUCGAAUUAUCAUUCCAGUUUCCGUUCCUAGAUCAGUUUCAAAGAGAGGCUACAUUCUGUGUUGGAUUAAACCAUCAGAGUUAUCAGACAAGGAUAUUUGGAAUGGGAGAGUUACAUUUGGAAGUUUGUGUUGAGCACUAAGAGGGAAUAUAUGGUACCAUACUUAAUCUUAGCUGAAAAUCAGUUUGUUAAUGGGAGAGUUACAUUUGGAAGUUUAUGUGGAGCACUAAGAGGGAAUAUAAGGAGCACUGUUAUAUUCUUUCAUUCAUCUAUCUACAUACUGGAACUUGGAAGGAGUACUAUUUUUUACACCUAUCUACGUUGAUUACAAAUUUUACUGUUUUAGGAAGUAUUUGGUAUACCCAAGCAGUACUUGUGUUGAGGACAUAUGUCUUAAUUUGUACUACAUCAAAUUUUUAUUCAAUUAUGAGAUAUAGUUUCUUCAAAUUGCCAAUGACCUCUCAAGCUCAACUCGUAGGAGGACUUGAGUUCUUCUUAGAAGACUCAAGUUCAAAUCUCAUUUGUUGCAAAAAAAGGAGUGAGGCACUGUUGGGCAGUGAUAGGAGACCUAGGGUACGAUCCUUGAGCCAA